rnacentral:rRNA from 1 species
CAGCCGCCGCGGUAACACGAAGGGGACUAGCGUUGCUCGGAAUCACUGGGCGUAAAGGGUGCGUAGGCGGGUCUUUAAGUCAGGGGUGAAAUCCUGGAGCUCAACUCCAGAACUGCCUUUGAUACUGAAGAUCUUGAGUAUGGGAGAGGUGAGUGGAGCUGCGAGUGUAGAGGUUAAAUUCGUAGAUAUUCGCAAGAACACCAGUGGCGAAGGCGGCUCACUGGCCCAUAACUGACGCUGAGGCACGAAAGCGUGGGGAGCGAACAGGAUUAGAUACCCCCGUAGUCCCUGUGUCUUAUAC